rnacentral:rRNA from 1 species
GUGUCAGCAGCCGCGGUAAUACGUAGGGGGCAAGCGUUGUCCGGAAUCAUUGGGCGUAAAGCGAGCGUAGGCGGCCCGAUAAGUCUGCUGUAAAAGUCAACGGCUCAACCGUUGAAAGCCGGUGGAUACUGUCGGGCUAGAGUUCGGAAGAGGCAAGUGGAAUUCCUGGUGUAGCGGUGGAAUGCGCAGAUAUCAGGAGGAACACCUAUAGCGAAGGCAGCUUGCUGGGACGAUACUGACGCUAAGGCUCGAAAGCGUGGGGAGCGAACAGGAUUAGAUACCCUUGUAGUCC